AUUGAACGCUGGCGGCAGGCUUAACACAUGCAAGUCGAGCGGGGUGAUGGUGCUUGCACUAUCACUUAGCGGCGGACGGGUGAGUAAUGCUUAGGAAUCUGCCUAUUAGUGGGGGACAACAUCUCGAAAGGGAUGCUAAUACCGCAUACGUCCUACGGGAGAAAGCAGGGGAUCACUUGUGACCUCGCGCUAAUAGAUGAGCCUAAGUCGGAUUAGCUAGUUGGUGGGGUAAAGGCCUACCAAGGCGACGAUCUGUAGCGGGUCUGAGAGGAUGAUCCGCCACACUGGGACUGAGACACGGCCCAGACUCCUACGGGAGGCAGCAGUGGGGAAUAUUGGACAAUGGGGGGAAUCCUGAUCCAGCCAUGCCGCGUGUGUGAAGAAGGCCUUAUGGUUGUAAAGCACUUUAAGCGAGGAGGAGGCUCUUUUGGUUAAUACCCAAGAUGAGUGGACGUUACUCGCAGAAUAAGCACCGGCUAACUCUGUGCCAGCCGCCGCAGUAA
rnacentral:rRNA from 1 species